rnacentral:tRNA from 1 species
CAAAGAGUAGUUUAAUAAAAAUUAUAAUUUUGGAGAUUAUAGAUAAAGAAAUUCUUUUUCUUUGA